GUCAUUUUUUGGGUAGGUUGGUGCAGUUUAACGGGUCUCAGGCAAUCGGUAUUGAACCGUAGGCGAGGGCCCUAGAGGCAGGGCUCGGUCCCGAGUUAUCCUUCUACAAUCGGAAGAAUAAUUGGUGGGUAACCCGGCGCCAAGCCAGGUAUCCAGAAACCAGAAAGCCAAAGGAUGAUGAUUUAUAGUGAGUUGGCAACACAUGGAUUUAAUCCAACCAGACCAGUCCAACUCUGCCAGCUGCACGGAAACCGAAAACUUGCGCCAAACGAGAGCAACUCUAUUGUGUACCAUUUUUAAAAUAGCAUUUUUUUGAGGAAUCAGGUUAAAAGUAAAUCACGUAAAAAUGAAUCGCAACGAGUUACAGUGUAGCGAACUUAAGAAUGACAAAAGUUGUAUUAAAUUAACUAAACAGUCAUAAAGAUGAUUUUAGUUUUACAUGGGUUUUGCAAUAGAAACUUUAAAAAAAUACAAGUUGUGUUUUUUGAAAGAUUAAA